UACAGAGGUCUCAAGCGUUGUUCGGAUUCAUUGGGCGUAAAGGGUGCGUAGGCGGCGCGGUAAGUCGGGUGUGAAAUCUCGGAGCUUAACUCCGAAACUGCAUUCGAUACUGCCGUGCUUGAGGACUGGAGAGGAGACUGGAAUUUACGGUGUAGCGGUGAAAUGCGUAGAUAUCGUAAGGAAGACCAGUGGCGAAGGCGGGUCUCUGGACAGGUUCCUGACGUGAGGCACGAAGGUCAGGGGAGCAAACGGG
rnacentral:rRNA from 1 species